GAUGAACGCUGGCGGCGUGCCUAAUACAUGCAAGUCGAGCGAACAGAUGAGGAGCUUGCUCCUCUGACGUUAGCGGCGGACGGGUGAGCAACACGUGGAUAACCUACCUAUAAGACUGGGAUAACUUCGGGAAACCGGAGCUAAUACCGGAUAAUAUAUUGAACCGCAUGGUUCAAUAGUGAAAGACGGUUUUGCUGUCACUUAUAGAUGGAUCCGCGCCGCAUUAGCUAGUUGGUAAGGUAACGGCUUACCAAGGCAACGAUGCGUAGCCGACCUGAGAGGGUGAUCGGCCACACUGGAACUGAGACACGGUCCAGACUCCUACGGGAGGCAGCAGUAGGGAAUCUUCCGCAAUGGGCGAAAGCCUGGCGGAGCAACGCCGCGUGAGUGAUGAAGGUCUUCGGAUCGUAAAACUCUGUUAUUAGGGAAGAACAAAUGUGUAAGUAACUAUGCACGUCUUGACGGUACCUAAUCAGAAAGCCACGGCUAACUACGUG
rnacentral:rRNA from 1 species